AUGGAAACAAGCAAAAUUGAAUUAUGGGCCAAAAGAAUGAUGCAAACAAGAUCGACGGACUUACCAAACGUGAGCUUCAGUGGUGGAUUUUCGAGUUUUAAUACAGGGCAGCAGUGGCAUAGCAGAUUUUUGGAGUGCAGAUUUUGGACAGUUUUGGUGCAGAUUUUGCAGCAGGUUUUUGGCAAGUUUGUGGGCAGAUUUUGCAGCAGGUUUUUUGGCAAGUUUGUGGGCAAAUUUUGCAGCAAGACAGUAGCAGGGUGCAGGGCUGGUUGGUUUGGCUUAGCAUGA